rnacentral:rRNA from 1 species
UAGAGAUGUGUGAUGACGCAUAUCAAUAAGCGGAGGAAAAGAAACUAACUAGGAUUCCCUUAGUAACGGCGAGUGAAGCGGGAAGAGCUCAAAUUUGAAAUCUUCAAGGUUCUACCUUGACGAAUUGUAGUUUAUAGAAGUGUUUUCUGUUAGUGGAGUGGCAAAAGUUCUUUGGAAUAGGACAUCAUAGAGGGUGAGAAUCCCGUAUUUGGUCAUUCCUCCUAGCGUUGUGAUACACUUUCAACGAGUCGGAUUGUUUGGGAAUGCAGUCCAAAAUGGGUGGUAAAUUUCAUCUAAAGCUAAAUAUUGGCGAGAGACCGAUAGCGAACAAGUACCGUGAGGGAAAGAUGGAAAGAACUUUGAAAAGAGAGUUAAACAGUACGUGAAAUUGUCAAAAGGGAAGCGUUUGACACCAGUGUUGUUUUCUCGAAAAUCAAUUAAAAAUGAUGGGAUUUUGUGCUGUAUUGACUUUAUCAGCUUUCUGCACUUUUUUCUUAUCUUUUUUAAUGCACUUUUCGUUUAACAAGUCAACAUCAAUUUCUUUUGUUGUAAGAGAGUCAUUGGAAGGUGGCUUUUUCUUCGGAAAAAGUGUUUAUAGCCUUUGGCUUCUAGCAAUCGGAGAGAUUGAGGUCUGCAGCGUAGAUCCUUCGGGGUUAGAUACAUUUGUGCUAAGUUAUAGUCCUUUCAUAGACAACUUGUUGACUAUAAUCAAUCAUGUAACUUACUCGCUUAUGCUAUUUUACCUACGCUUAGGAUGUUGAAGAUGUAGCACAUCAU